GUCUUGUCAGUCUACCUUGGGGACCACAGACCCCAAGAGUGCCGAGUUUUCUGCAUUUAGGCCCUUGAGGUGUCUCAGGCACCGGCUCUGAGGAGCUGCUCAAUAACGCUGAUUGAGUGAACUUGAGGAGCCAAUGAGGCGCGAGGACACGAACCACAGGCAGGACACUGGUAGACACCUGGGGAGCUGGGGGAGUGGCCAGGUCCACGUGCAGGGCAGGGCGUGGGGAGCUGGCUCGUUCACUCACUCUGCGAAUGGUUUGCGAGCACUGCCGAGGGUCACUGUGGGCCCCAGGACACCGUGUCACCUGGAGGGCGGCCCCGCUCCAAGCAGCCUACAUUCUCAUGGCGGACUCAGAGCGCCAGAAAGCUGUGCUUGGCUGACCACGAGGAGGGGGCCUAGGAGCCAGGAGCAGCAGAGAGGACCCCAGCCUGGAGCGGUUGAGAGAGGCUCCCUGAGGAGAGCCUCCGCAACGCUACUGGACCUGCAUGACCUCUUCCCUUCUCCCACCGUCCCAGGAAGAAGGGGUUCUGGGACAAAUGCCUCUGUGUACAAGUCAUGGUCCCAUCCGUCACUGAGAAGAGACUCCUGGAAACAGGAUUCAUUCUUGACUCGGAGGGGUGGACCAUUUCCAAGUCUCUCCUUCACACCACCAAUCUGUCCAAUGGGAACUUUCAUCCAUCUUUCCAUAACCUCUUCGGCAACAGGCAACUCUGCUGAAACGCGGAGAAACGUAUAAUAUUCUGGAAAUGACACCGUCCCCCGGC
rnacentral:lncRNA from 1 species